AWUGCCUUMGUAACGGCGAGUGAAGCGGCAAAAGCUCAAAUUUSAAAUYUGGUACCUUCGGUGCCCGAGUUGUAAUYUGGAGAGGGCAACUUUGGGGCCGUUCCUYGUCUAUGUUCCUUGGAACAGGACGUCAUAGAGGGUGAGAAUCCCGUGUGGCGAGGAGUGCGGUUCUUUGUAAAGUGCCUUCGAAGAGYCGAGUUGUUUGGGAAUGCAGCUYUAAGUGGGUGGUAAAUUCCAUCUAAAGCUAAAUAUUGGCGAGAGACCGAUAGCGAACAAGUACAGUGAUGGAAAGAUGAAAAGAACUUUGAAAAGAGAGUGAAAAAGUACGUGAAAUUGUUGAAAGGGAAGGGCAUUUGAUCAGACAUGGUGUUUUGUGCCCUYUGCUCCYUGUGGGUAGGGGAAUCUCGCAUUUCACUGGGCCAGCAUCAGUUUUGGUGGCAGGAUAAAUCCAUAGGAAUGUAGCUUGCCUCGGUAAGUAUUAUAGCCUGUGGGAAUACUGCCAGCUGGGACUGAGGACUGCSACGUAAGUCAAGGAUGCUGGCAUA
rnacentral:rRNA from 1 species